GCACUGCCUUUGAGCCCCCGCUGCACCUGCACAUGGUGCCAGGGGUCAGGCUGCAGCACCAGAGCAGGAGCUUGAACAUAACUGGGCUGGCUGCUCCCUGGCUGGCGGCCUUUUUAACCAGGAGCGACAUGA